AGUGAACGCUGGCGGUAGGCCUAACACAUGCAAGUCGAACGGCAGCACAGUAAGAGCUUGCUCUUACGGGUGGCGAGUGGCGGACGGGUGAGGAAUACAUCGGAAUCUACUUUUUCGUGGGGGAUAACGUAGGGAAACUUACGCUAAUACCGCAUACGACCUACGGGUGAAAGCAGGGGAUCUUCGGACCUUGCGCGAUUGAAUGAGCCGAUGUCGGAUUAGCUAGUUGGCGGGGUAAAGGCCCACCAAGGCGACGAUCCGUAGCUGGUCUGAGAGGAUGAUCAGCCGCACUGGAACUGAGACACGGUCCAGACUCCUACGGGAGGCAGCAGUGGGGAAUAUUGGACAAUGGGCGAAAGCCUGAUCCAGCCAUACCGCGUGGGUGAAGAAGGCCUUCGGGUUGUAAAGCCCUUUUGUUGGGAAAGAAAAGCAGCAGGUUAAUACCCCGCUGUUCUGACGGUACCCAAAGAAUAAGCACCGGCUAACUUCGUG
rnacentral:rRNA from 1 species